CAGCCGCCGCGGGAAUACGAAGGGUGCAAGCGUUAAUCGGAAUUACUGGGCGUAAAGCGUGCGUAGGCGGUUUGUUAAGUCUGUUGUGAAAUCCCCGGGCUCAACCUGGGAGUGGCAAUGGAUACUGGCAAGCUAGAGUGUGUCAGAGGAUGGUGGAAUUCCCGGUGUAGCGGUGAAAUGCGUAGAGAUCGGGAGGAACAUCAGUGGCGAAGGCGGCCAUCUGGGACAACACUGACGCUGAGGCACGAAAGCGUGGGGAGCAAACAGGAUUAGAUACCCGCGUAGUCCCUGUCUCUUAUAA
rnacentral:rRNA from 1 species